CCUCCUAAUACAUGCAAGUCGAGCGGAUCGAUGGGAGCUUGCUCCCUGAGAUCAGCGGCGGACGGGUGAGUAACACGUGGGUAACCUGCCUGUAAGACUGGGAUAACUCCGGGAAACCGGGGCUAAUACCGGAUAACACCUACCCCCGCAUGGGGGAAGGUUGAAAGGUGGCUUCGGCUAUCACUUACAGAUGGACCCGCGGCGCAUUAGCUAGUUGGUGAGGUAAUGGCUCACCAAGGCGACGAUGCGUAGCCGACCUGAGAGGGUGAUCGGCCACACUGGGACUGAGACACGGCCCAGACUCCUACGGGAGGCAGCAGUAGGGAAUCUUCCGCAAUGGACGAAAGUCUGACGGAGCAACGCCGCGUGAGUGAAGAAGGUUUUCGGAUCGUAAAACUCUGUUGUUAGGGAAGAACAAGUGCCGUUCGAAUAGGGCGGCGCCUUGACGGUACCUAACCAGAAAGCCACGGCUAACUACGUGCCAGCAGCCGCGGUAAUACGUAGGUGGCAAGCGUUGUCCGGAA
rnacentral:rRNA from 2 species